rnacentral:rRNA from 1 species
GACGAACGCUGGCGGCGUGCUUAACACAUGCAAGUCGAACGGAAAGGCCCUGCUUUUGUGGGGUGCUCGAGUGGCGAACGGGUGAGUAACACGUGAGUAACCUGCCCUUGACUUUGGGAUAACUUCAGGAAACUGGGGCUAAUACCGGAUAGGAGCUCCUGCUGCAUGGUGGGGGUUGGAAAGUUUCGGCGGUUGGGGAUGGACUCGCGGCUUAUCGGCUUGUUGGUGGGGUAGUGGCUUACCAAGGCUUUGACGGGUAGCCGGCCUGAGAGGGUGACCGGCCACAGUGGGACUGAGAUACGGCCCAGACUCCUACGGGAGGCAGCAGUGGGGAAUAUUGCACAAUGGGCGGAAGCCUGAUGCAGCAACGCCGCGUGCGGGAUGACGGCCUUCGGGGUGUAAACCGCUUUCGCCUGUGACGAAGCGUGAGUGACGGUAAUGGGUAAAGAAGCACCGGCUAACUACGUG